GUACUGAGACGGUACCCUCAAAGGAAGGAUCGGCUAACUACGUGCCAGCAGCCGACGGUAAUACGUAGGAUCCGAGCGUUGUCCGGAAUUACUGGGGUGUAAAAGGGGUGCGUAGGCGGACUUGUGCGUCAGAGGUGAAAUCCACGGGCUUAACCCGUGGGGUGCCUUUGAUACGGCAAGUCUUGAGUGCGAGAGAGGUGGGUGGAAUUCCUGGUGUAGCAGUGAAAAUGCGUAGAUAUCAGGAGGAACACCGAUGGCGAAGGCAGCCCACCGGCUCGCAACUGACGCUGAGGCACGAAAGCGUGGGGAUCAAACAGGAUUAGAUACCCUGGUAGUCCACGCCUUAAACGAUGUAUGCUUGGUGUUGGGUCGCAAGACUCAGUGCCGGAGGAAACCUAUUAAGCAUACCACCUGGGGAGUACGAUCGCAAGGUUGAAACUCAAAGGAAUUGACGGGGG
rnacentral:rRNA from 1 species